CGCCCUCCCAGUCCCUCAUUUGAUGGAGCUCCUGUUUCUCACACAGAGGACAAUGAGUGACAGCCUUCCCUGCUGCAGGGAGCAAUGACAACUCGCAGCCCCGGGCCAGAGUCCACUGGUUGCCACCAUCUGCCUUUGGGAGGGAUUUUCCAUCGUGGGCCCAGCGUUGCAAGAGGAUCCAGGAACUGUUUGUCACUGGGAGGCGUUGAUGCUGGCAACGAUGCAGAGCUUGCCAGGUCCGGGAUGGUGUCUUACUCACUUCCAUCCCUGGAAAUGUCCCCGGUGCCAGCACGGGGCCGGAGCAUGGAGGGAGCCUAGUCAACGAUGCCUGUAAAUGUAUUGAUGUCAGAAGGCUGGUGAAGACGCACGGAAGGACAGCUCCGGGUUUUGCAUAAGGCACCUCAAAUGUGCAAAAAUAAAUGGGGGAGCCAGUGAAGCUGAACGCUGAGC
rnacentral:lncRNA from 1 species